GCCGGUGCGAGUGGUUCGUUCCGCCCCUCCCUCUCUCCCUCCCUGCGGCCGGCGGUGGCGCGUUCCGCUCCCGGCGCUCGAUGCGGAACUGCCCGAGCGGCGCAGAGCGGCUGGGGGCGGCGGCGGGGCAGGUUGAACUUGCUGGACAUUUCCAAGUGAAUUGCUCCCUGGGGCAGUUGCUCACAGCUGACUGGACAACGGGCUGCUGGGCUGAUGAACAGCAAUUCACUGAGAUGACAUAGAAAGGGGUCAAGGACAAUGGUGCAGAAAAAGAAAAGCUGCCCUCGGUUACUCGACUACCUUGUUAUCAUUGGAGCCAGGCAGCCAAGCAGUGAUAGUGUUGCUCAGACUCCUGAGCUGCUACGACGUUAUCCUCUAGAAGACCACGUGGACUUUCCUCUUCCACCUGACGUUGUGUUCUUCUGCCAACCCGAAGGAUGCCUGAGUGUGCGGCAGAAACGCAUGAGCUUCCGUGAUGACACUUCUUUUGUCUUCACACUCACAGACAAGGAUACGGGUGUCAUUCGCUAUGGAAUCUGUGUCAACUUCUACCGUUCCUUCCAGAAGCGAGUACCCAAGGAGAAGGGAGAAGGCACAGGAGGACAUCGAGCUCCUCGGGAGGGACAGAAAAUCGCUAAGUCUGGGGAUGCGUCUGCACCCCAAGAGGAUGUGGGCACUGAGAGUUCAGAGAGUGGUUCUUCACUGCAGGCCCCAAGUACAGAGCCUACCCCAGAUGUGAACCGGUCUCCGCACAGUAAGCGUCUGGCCAAAGGCAGCCAUCGUUCUCGAAACAGCACCCUGACUUCUCUGUGCAUCCUUAGUCACUAUCCUUUCUUCUCCACCUUCCGCGAGUGCCUGUACACCCUCAAGAGACUUGUGGACUGCUGUAGUGAGAGACUGUUGGGCAAGAAGCUGGGGAUUCCUCGUGGGGUUCAGAGGGAUACAAUGUGGCGGAUUUUCACAGGCUCACUCCUGGUGGAGGAGAAGUCCAGUGCACUGCUACAUGACUUGCGGGAGAUUGAGGCGUGGAUAUACCGGCUGCUGCGUUCACCAAUGCCUGUUGCUGGUCAGAAGCGGGUGGACGUGGAAGUUUUGCCGCAUGAGUUGCAGCCAGCUUUGACCUUUGCUCUUCCUGAUCCAUCCCGCUUCACCUUGGUGGAUUUUCCACUACAUCUGCCUUUGGAGUUGCUGGGAGUGGAUGCCUGUCUUCAGGUGCUGACCUGCAUCCUUCUGGAGCACAAGGUUGUACUGCAGUCCCGGGACUAUAAUGCACUCUCAAUGUCUGUGAUGGCCUUUGUGGCUAUGAUCUACCCAUUAGAAUAUAUGUUUCCGGUGAUCCCUCUGCUCCCCACCUGCAUGGCCUCUGCAGAGCAGUUGCUUCUAGCCCCUACACCUUACAUCAUUGGUGUUCCAGCGAGUUUCUUCCUUUACAAACUAGAUUUCAAAAUGCCUGAUGAUGUAUGGCUUAUCGACCUGGAUACCAAUAAGGUGAUCGUUCCCACAAACGCAGAAUCUUUGCCGGCGCUUCCAGAACCAGAAGCUUCAGAGCUGAAAAAGCAUCUGAAACAGUCUCUGGUUAGCAUGACUGCAAUCACUCAGCAACAGCUGCUCACUCCUGACAACAAGGCACUGGCUAGCAUGAGUCUGAAUACUCAGCCCAUUCUUAAUCUAGAGAAGUUCCACGAAGGGCAGGAGGUGCCGCUGCUGCUGGGAAGACCACAGAAUGAUUUGCAGUCUACUCCCUCCACAGAAUUCAACCCUCUGAUCUAUGGAAAUGAUGUGGACUCUGUGGAUGUAGCUACCAGGGUUGCUAUGGUGAGAUUCUUCAACUCACCAAAUGUUCUGCAAGGAUUCCAGAUGCAUACUCGCACUCUUCGUCUUUUUCCACGACCAGUAGUGGCCUUCCAGGCAAAUUCCUUUCUUGCCUCUAGGCCAAAGCAAACACCUUUUGCAGAUAAACUUUCCAGGACACAAGCAGUAGAAUAUUUUGGAGAAUGGUCGCUCAACCCUACUAACUAUGCUUUUCAGAGAAUUCAUAACAAUAUGUUUGACCCAGCACUGAUCGGUGACAAACCGAAGUGGUAUGCUCACCAACUGCAGCCCAUCCACUAUCGUGUCUAUGACAGUAAUUCACAACUAGCUGAAGCACUGAAUGUCCCAGUAGAAAAAGAAACAGACUCUGAUCCCACCGAUGACAGCAGUGGCAGUGACAGUGUCGACUACGAUGACUCAAGUUCCUCCUACUCUUCACUUGGUGACUUUGUCAGCGAGAUGAUGAAAUGUGACAUUAAUGGCGAUACUCCAAAUGUUGACCCCCUGACUCACGCAGCCCUUGGUGAUGCCAGUGAAGUGGAGUUUGAUGAUUUUCAAGAAUAUUCAGGAGAUCUGGAUGAACAGGCCAUGGACAGUGAGAACUCCCAAGAGAACAACCAGCCUCGUUCAAGUUCCAGUACUACAGCCAGUAGCAGCCCCAGUACUGUCAUCCACGGAGUGAACCAUGAGUCUGCAGAUUCAGCAGAGAUGGAGGAGAAGCUAGUUGCUGGAUUUUCAAACCAUCUCCCUUCUUUGCCACUACAACCAAGCUUUCCCAAGAUGAGCUUUGAUCGUCGUGAGAGUGACAGCCCAGCUGUCAGCAUGAGCUCCUCAGAAGGGGUGGUGAGGAAACGAGAGUAUGAUAAUCCAUACUUCGAACCACAGUAUGGUUUUCCUACAGAGGAUGAAGAUGAUGAGCAGGAAGAGAGCUACACCCCAAGAUUUAACCAGAAUCUCAAUGGAAGCAGGUCUCAGAAGUUACUUCGUCCGAACAGUUUAAAACUGGCCAAUGAUUCUGAUGCAGAUUCAGACUCCAGGGCCAGCUCUCCAAACUCUACUGUUUCCAACAACAGCAGUGAAGGUUUUGGGGGCAUCAUGUCUUUUGCAAGCAGCCUGUACAGAAACCACAGCACAAGUUUCAGUCUGUCCAAUUUAGCCCUGCCAACCAAAGUUGGGAGAGACAAGAAUACCCCCUUUCCCAGCCUGAAAGAUUACUUUAAUCUGGAAGUGGGAAGGGAUGUGAAUGAAGUAUUUGGGUUAAAUACUAUAAUGGAGAUUAUUACUGAAGCUGGCCCAGUAAGCAAUGAAGGAAACAGGCGAGCCCUGGUGGAUCAAAAGUCUUCAGUCAUUAAGCAUAGCCCAACAGUGAAGAGAGAAUCUCCAUCCCCGCAGGGGCGAAGUAGUAAUUCCAGUGAGAACCAGCAAUUCCUGAAGGAGGUGAUACACAAUGUUCUCGAUGGGCAAGGUGUUGGCUGGCUGAACAUGAAGAGAGUCCGACGCCUCCUGGAGAGUGAGCAGCUCCGUGUCUUUGUAUUAAGCAAGCUAAAUCGCACGAUCCAGUCGGAAGAAGAUGCUCAGCAGGAUAUCAUACAGGAUGUGGAGAUCAGCCGCAAAGUUUAUAAAGGCAUGCUGGACUUGCUAAAGUGUACUGUGUUGAGCCUGGAGCAGUCAUAUGCGAAUGCUGGCCUGGGAGGCAUGGCCAGUGUUUUUGGCCUUCUAGAAAUAGCGCAUACUCACUAUUACAACAAAGAACCAGAAAAGAGAAAACGAAGCCCAACAGAUGGUUCUGUCACUCCAGUUGGCAAAGAUCCUGCAUCAUCUCCAAGAGUGGAGCCGAAACCUGCCAUGCAGCUGCCAGUACCACAGCUGAUGCCGAAGGCACCAAGCCCUGCAGGGAAAGGGCUAAGAGAAUUUGAUACAAGGAGUCUAAAGGAAGAAAAUUUUAUUGCUUCCAUUGAAUUGUGGAACAAGCACCAGGAAAUGAAAAAGCAAAAAUCUUUGGAAAAAACGAGGCCAGAAGGUGUGAAACAUUUUGAUUUGGGAGAAACAGAUGAGAAAAAAUCCCAAAUCAGUGCAGACAGUGGCCUCAGUUUGGCCUCAGGUUCUCAGAAGAGUGAUUUUGACUCUGUUCCCAGCGGAGGACCAUCAGUAAUGGUCCGAAGUACCAGCCAGGAUUCUGAAGUUAGCACAGUGGUUAGUAACAGCUCUGGGGAGACACUAGGAGCAGACAGUGACUUGAGUAGCAAUGCUGGUGAUGGCCCAAGUGUGGAAAAUGGAGGCAAUCUGACAGGAUCCAGGGGCACUGUGUCAGACAGUGAAAUUGAGACGAACUCUGCUACUAGCUCUAUUUUUGCAAAGUCUCAUAACUUGAAGCAGAAUGUAAAGGAGAACAAAGGCAGUACUCCAGGGAAAGGUCCAGAGGAUGGGAACCAGCGUGUCUAUCUCUAUGAAGGCCUUUUGGGUAGGGAUAAAGGAUCUGUCUGGGACCAGUUAGAGGAUGCUGCAAUGGAAACCUUCUCUAUGAGCAAAGAACGCUCAACACUGUGGGACCAGAUGCAGUUUUGGGAAGAUGCCUUUUUGGAUGCUGUGAUGUUAGAGAGAGAAGGAAUGGGGAUGGAUCAAGGACCGCAGGAGAUGAUUGACAGGUAUCUUUCCCUGGGAGAACAUGAUCGAAAGCGUUUGGAGGAUGAUGAGGACCGCUUGUUGGCUACGCUGCUGCAUAAUAUGAUCGCUUAUAUGCUUAUGAUAAAGGUGAAUAAGAAUGAUAUUAGGAAAAAGGUGCGUCGUCUGAUGGGAAAAUCACAUAUUGGAUUGUUGCAUAGCCAGCAGUUAAAUGACAUUCUAGACAAGCUUGCUAACCUGAAUGGACGGGAGCUCCCUGUGAGACCCAGUGGCAGCCGCCACAUCAAGAAGCAGACUUUUGUAGUCCAUGCUGGAACAGACACUACAGGAGACAUAUUUUUCAUGGAGGUGUGUGAUGACUGCAUUGUGCUGAGAAGCAACAUUGGAACUGUGUAUGAACGUUGGUGGUAUGAGAAACUCAUCAACAUGACUUACUGCCCCAAAACAAAAGUUCUGUGUCUGUGGCGGAGGAAUGGCCAGGAAACACAACUGAACAAGUUCUACACAAAGAAGUGUCGGGAAUUAUACUACUGUGUAAAAGACAGCAUGGAACGAGCAGCAGCAAGACAGCAAAGCAUUAAACCAGGUCCUGAGUUGGGUGGUGAGUUUCCUGUGCAGGAUAUGAAAACUGGCGAAGGAGGUCUUCUGCAGGUGACACUGGAAGGAAUUAACCUGAAAUUUAUGCACAGUCAGGUUUUCAUAGAGCUGAAUCACAUUAAAAAGUGCAAUACAGUGCGAGGAGUCUUUGUCCUGGAGGAAUUUGGAAUGACAGUACCAUGACAUACUAGAAUUGGUGGGCACUGGUUUGUUUCUGGAGAGUUUUCUCAAACCCAGUCUGCACUGCCUACUUUUGGCUCCUUAGAGCGUGAUCUGUCUCCCUCUCCAAUGUUUAGAUGUGUCAUAUCAUAAGUUAAAAAGAUGACAUCUGCAUGGAUAGAUUUUGUUGUGGACUUUUCCUAAUUACUCAUACUGAAUUCAUCUGCCUCUUUCUUUUUUGUCACUAGUAUUAUGUGUAAUAAAAUACUUACCCUUCCCCUAUGAAUCUGGUAUGGUUUGGUUUUGAAUAAUUUCUGUACUGCUGCUAAAUAUUUUUUUUUGUUGUGAUACAGAAAUUUCAUGGCAAAUUUCAGCUUUUCUGGAAGGGAAGUAUCCAAAGUUGGUUUUGUUAUUACACAUUUUAAAAUUACCAUUUGUAUGUUCUUAGUGUUGGUUUUGUUCUCUCCUGGUGAUUUCCGAUGGUAUCUGUUCACAACAAUAUCUGUAGACCAAGUGUGAGGUCAGAUGCACAGUUUGGAUGCAGCACAUACUGAUGGUGAUAGUUACAGCCUGCUUUUUUGUGCAUUCUAUAAUGAAAGCAAAAGACAAAUUACCUUAGCUAUCUUAUCUUCUUUCUUUCUGUUAGUUUGAGACAGUGCAAAGGAGCAACGUGAUAUUUUCUGGGUAAUUUUUAGUCAGUGCACUAAUCUUCUUUUUGUGUAAAAUCUUCAGGAAAUCAAAUCAAGCCUGACAUUCUAAGAAUACAUGGAAUUGAAAUCUGUGUUCUAUUUUAAGACUAUGUGUUCAAAAGCAAAGAACGUUUUCAUUGACAAUAUCAAGUUAAAAAUGAGCAUGCGUGUCCUCAACAGAAGAAAAGAGAAUUUUUAGCAUUUCUCAAAAUCUGGCUGUGAAAUGGUCUUCCAGCUUAGAAAAAUUUUCUCCAUAAUAUCCUAUUUGUUUGCUUUUUUUCCUGUAUUUCACUGGCUUACUGACAGAGUGUCCAACAGUUCUUAUGAGAUCCGUUACUCAGCAGAGAAGGAUUCAAACAUCUAGGGAAUAAUGUCUUUGUGGAUCAAAUACUUAAAAAUUCCUAUGGAAUUGGUCUGUGUUUUAGUAUAAUAGUCAUUAAGCGCAUUUUGUCAUUAAUUUUGCUGCCUAGCAGGAAUAACUACUAGUAGAAAAGCCAGGAUCUCUUAAGAACCAUCAAAUAUCUAUUACGGUUUUCCAAACAUAAACAAUAAAAUAUUUUUGCCAACCUGAGGAAUUCAUCAUCAGUAUUGUCAAGGACAUGUAUAAUGUAAACAAAGAGAAGAAAGAGUACCUAGAAGUGAGGGAUAGUGAGGAGCCCUGGUCCUGCACCUGCUGUCUGUGUGCAUCCCUUUCCUUUCCUAUGGGAACAUUGUGCUGUUUCUUUCCCUUUUUCCUCUCGUUUUUUGAACUUUUUGUUUUGUCUCUUGCCCGUCCGGUUUUAGUUCCUGAAACUAAAGAAGUGGUGAGCCACAAGUACAAGACGCCAAUGGCUCACGAGAUCUGCUACUCCGUGCUGUGUCUCUUCUCUUAUGUGGCUGCCAUUCGUGGGAAAGAGGCAGAAAACAA